ensembl:lncRNA
AUCUUGACUUUAGGAUGUUUAUUAAUUCCAUUUUCCAUUUUACAUAUUUGCAAAUUUACAUCAAAGUUCCCAAAAACCUGGUGAUGUAGUUCACUUGAUCUUGCCAGCACAAACCAUGGAGUGAAGUUGAGGAUCCAGUCUGUGUCCCUCAUAUGUUACUCUUUUGGGAAUACCAGCCUGGAGCAAGUCUACCAUGGAAGAUUCCUUCUUCACACUGGGAACCAUGAAGGAAGAGAGAGACUGAACAGAGUGCUGGGGGAAGCACACUGCAUGGUAUCGCACCUUUCAAUCUACAAAUAAGUCCACAAAUAAUUCAAGAGCUUCCUCUCUGGAAAUAACUGUUUGGUCAUUCCAUCACAGUAUGUGGUCACACCAGAUUCAUAAUGGGAAAUAAUUUUUUUUUUAACAUGAACUUGAGUCCAUUUUAGCACAGCAUCAUAGAAACAGAGCAAUGACUUUUCUUGUUGCUUUUCAUUAUAAGCAAGGCACAAGGAAAAAAUAGUCAUUUAUCUUUCACUGAACCAGUCAGGGAAAGCCUGAUUCACUAUUUUUCACAAGUUGGUUUUUUUUUUUCUUUUUUCUUUUUCUCCUCACAUUAGUCUAAGAGUAUUGUUCUCAGCCCCUCUGAUGGAG